CGACGGCAGCACGGGGGCACCCUGGUGGCGAGUGGCGAACGGGUGAAAUGCAUCGGAACGUGUCUUCGAGUGGGGGAUAACGCACCAAAAGGUGUGCUAAUACCGCAUAAUCUCUACGGAGAAAAGCACGGGAUCGCAAGACCUUGCGCUCUUUGAGCGGCCGAUGUCUGAUUAGCUAGUUGGUGAGGUAAAGGCUUACCAAGGCGACUAUCAGUAGCUGGUCUGACAGGACGACCAGCCACACUGGGACUGACACACGGCCCACACUCCUACUGGAGGCAGCAGUGGGGAAUUUUGGACAAUGGGGGAAACCCUGAUCCAGCCAUGCCACGUGAGUGAAUAAGGCCUUCGGGUUGUAAAGCUCUUUCUGCCGGAACGAAACGGUCACGGCUAAUACCUGUUUCUACUGACGGUACCGGAAGAAGAAGCACCGGCUAACUACGUGCCAUCAGCCGCGGUAAUACGUAUGGUGCAAGCGUUAAUCGGAAUUACUGGGCGUAAAGCGUGCGCAGGCGGUUUUGUAAGUCAGAUGUGACAUCCCCGGGCUUAACCUGCCCAACUGCG
rnacentral:rRNA from 1 species